rnacentral:rRNA from 1 species
GUAUACGGCCAUGCCAACCUGAACAAGCCCGAUCCCAUCUGAUCUGAGAAGCUAAGCAGAGUCAGGCCUGGUUAGCACUUGGAUGGGAGACCACCUAUGAAUACCAGGUGAUGUAGGCA